GUUUUUUCUGAAGAGUUUUAACCUACUUCAAGCCAAUGUCUUUCACAGGAAGCAUGCGUGUACAUGUAUUUGUGGUAUGAGAUGUGGGUACAAGCAGGACUUUUAGAAGAGAGGAGGGGAGGGAAGGGACCUAAAACUUUGGAUGUUGACUGCAUGCUAAUGGACAUAAUUAGUUAAUUAUUGCCUGUAAAAUUCUGCUCAAGAAUGCUUUAAAGCACAGAUCUUUUUCUAGAGUUACCAUGUGACCUGAACUCUCUGUUGUACCUGAUAAAACAGAAUGGGUCUACCAGUAGUUUUAGAAUUCAAAAACCAAGGGGAUUCUUCUUUAAUGUAUUACAUUUCUUAAAAGUCACUCUUUGUAUCCAAAAAUGACCACUGCUUGUUGUGAAGAAAUUGUCUUUUCUAUCAUUUUUCUUUUGUGCAGUUCAGUUGUUUUCCCUCUACCAAAUAUGUUGAAAAUCAAAAGGCAGACCUUCAACCCACUGUGAGAGAAGAGUUGCCAGUUCAAACUUGGUCUGGAACUAAUGGUGGCACAAGAGAAAUCAACUGAGAAAAAUCCCCAUGUGCAGACCACGUCUUUGCUGCCUGGGAUGGUGGAAUCAGAUUUCUGUAAGACUUUGGGGGAGCAAUGUGACACAGUGACUAUAUCUUGUCAGAAGACUAAACCAGAAACUGUUCUGUAGAACAUUGUUUUAGUGCAGAAGCAUCCGAGACAAAAAACCAGGUAAGAAUGUAGUCUAGGCCGGCGCCACGGCUCACUAGACUAAUCCUCCGCCUUGUGGCGCCGGCACACCGGGUUCUAGUCCCAGUCGGGGCGCCGGAUUCUGUCCCAGUUGCCCCUCUUCCAGGCCAGCUCUUUGCUGUGGCCAGGGAGUGCAGUGGAGGAUGGCCCAAGUGCUUGGGCCCUGCACCCCAUGGGAGACCAGGAGAAGCACCUGGCUCCUGCCAUCGGAUCAGCGCGGUGUGCUGGCCGCAGCGCGCCAGCCGUGGU
rnacentral:lncRNA from 1 species